rnacentral:lncRNA from 1 species
UGAUGUAUAUUAAGAUAACUAAAAAGGAUUAAUAUGCAAGAAGAAAAUGGGAGAAGAAGUUUAUAUAAUAUGAAUACAACUAAAUUGGUAUGUGAUGCGUUUUUUGACAUGGUGAGGGAUGCUAUUUAUAGGACUUUUGUAGGACCUACCUAAUUUGUAAGUCUCAAUUUAUUUAUUUAGCUCAACUAGUUUAUUAGGGUGUUGGUGAAUGAAUAGUGAUCGUUAACUUAGUCAUAUUUUAAUAUUAU